AUUGUCCAAACGCAAUUCUUGUGUCUUUUCUGGUCCGAGCCCAAGAAUUGGGUCUGGGCAUCC
rnacentral:pre_miRNA from 1 species